CUUGGUCAUUUAGAGGAAGUAAAAGUCGUAACAAGGUCUCCGUAGGUGAACCUGCGGAGGGAUCAUUACACAAAUAUGGAGGCGGGCUGGAACCUCUCGGGGUUACAGCCUUGCUGAAUUAUUCACCCUUGUCUUUUGCGUACUUCUUGUUUCCUUGGUGGGUUCGCCCACCACUAGGACAAACAUAAACCUUUUGUAAUUGCAAUCAGCGUCAGUAACAAAUUAAUAAUUACAACUUUCAACAACGGAUCUCUUGGUUCUGGCAUCGAUGAAGAACGCAGCGAAAUGCGAUAAGUAGUGUGAAUUGCAGAAUUCAGUGAAUCAUCGAAUCUUUGAACGCACAUUGCGCCCUUUGGUAUUCCAAAGGGCAUGCCUGUUCGAGCGUCAUUUGUACCCUCAAGCUUUGCUUGGUGUUGGGCGUCUUGUCUCUAGCUUUGCUGGAGACUCGCCUUAAAGUAAUUGGCAGCCGGCCUACUGGUUUCGGAGCGCAGCACAAGUCGCACUCUCUAUCAGCAAAGGUCUAGCAUCCAUUAAGCCUUUUUUUCAACUUUUGACCUCGGAUCAGGUAGGGAUACCCGCUGAACUUAAGCAUAUCAAUAAGCGGAGG
rnacentral:rRNA from 1 species